AGAGUUUGAUCCUGGCUCAGGNUGAACGCUGGCGGCGUGCCUAACACAUGCAAGUCGAACGGUGUUAUUUUGAAGGAAGCUUCGGCAGACAGAUAGAUAACAUAGUGGCGGACGGGUGAGUAACGCGUGGGGAACCUGCCUCAGACCGGGGGAUAGCAGCUGGAAACGGCUGGUAAUACCGCAUAAGCGCACAGUACCGCAUGGUAUCGUGUGAAAAACUCCGGUGGUCUGAGAUGGACCCGCGUCUGAUUAGCCAGUUGGUGAGGUAACGGCCCACCAAAGCGACGAUCAGUAGCCGGCCUGAGAGGGCGGACGGCCACAUUGGGACUGAGACACGGCCCAGACUCCUACGGGAGGCAGCAGUGGGGGAUAUUGCACAAUGGAGGGAACUCUGAUGCAGCGACGCCGCGUGAGUGAAGAAGUACUUCGGUAUGUAAAGCUCUAUCAGCAGGGAAGAAAGGCUCCGCAAGGAGAGAUGACGGUACCUGACUAAGAAGCCCCGGCUAAUUACGUGCCAGCAGCCGCGGUAAUACGUAAGGGGCAAGCGUUAUCCGGAUUUACUGGGUGUAAAGGGAGCGCAGACNGGNUAGCAAGUCUGAAGUGAAAGCCCGCGGCUUAACCGCGGGACUGCUUUGGAAACUGUUAACCUGGAGUACUGGAANGGUNAGCGGAAUUUCUUGGUGUAGCNGUGAAAUGCGUAGAUAUCANGAGGAANNNCGGUGGGNNAAGGCGGGCUUACUGGNCNGCAACUGNCGUUNNGNUCGAAAGCNNGGGGGAGCNAAAC
rnacentral:rRNA from 1 species